GGGGCAGGGACCGGGGUGGGGGGAGGGGAGGGCAGGAGUAGGGACUCGAGGAAUCCGGGAGCGGCCAGGAGCUAGAAUUUGCCUCUGGAGUGUGACCCCUGGGGGUCCGAACUCAGCUUAGUCGGUUUACGUUGACUGACUUGUCUGAACCUCAGUUUGCUCACUUGUAAAAUGGGGAAUGUGUUGAGACCUCGCGAGGAAAGCGGACGCAAAGCGCUUGGCAAGGCGCGCAUGCGGUGCGCCAGAGGCUGCCGAGCCCGCCCAAGGCCGCCCUGCCCCGGCCCGCACCCUCACGGCGCCCGAGACCGGUUCUCUUCUAGAAGGUGUCUACGCCAUCGCUCCUUCCUCAGGCGCAGCGCCGCCGGACGUGGCGGCCAACGGCUCCUCCUGCGCCUCCCCACUGACAGCCCUGGUCUGCCCGAGCGUGCGCCCUCGCCCUUGCUCGCGUACCGGCUUCGCCAAGGGGGUCCUUUGUCCACCUCGACCUCCUCGGUGGCUGGAACCAGCCCGAUUCUGCCGCCUCCAGGAGGGAGGAGCCCGGGGGGUGGGGCGAGAAGCGGGACACCUCCCAGCUUCAUCCAGCGCCCAGGCUCUGAUCAGCCUCCCCAAGGUGCCAGCUGCGCCCAGUGCCAAGACAGGCCCACGGCCACUAACUGCUCUUGGCAACCGUCGAAGCGCCCAAGCAACCUCCGGUACGGGGCCUCAGGCCUCUUGCAAAUCUGAGAAAAUUUAGGCUCCUCCUUCCCUCCCCGCUCUGUCUCCUUUUCCCGGGUUAGCGGCGAGAGAUCAGCGGGAUCCCACAAAGCAGGUUCCGCCGCUAACAGAUCCUGGGACUCGAAGCCCAGUCUGGAACUUUUCUGAGGGCGGGAGGACCUGGGGUCAGACUGCAGCGAGCUCCCAGUCAGCUGGACUCGACCAAAGGAAUAAGGUUACCAGAAACUACAGAAGAAGCCAACCCUCUUACCAUCGGUUCUGAGGGGGAAAUGCGGAAGGGCCGCCUCGAGAGCCGACGUGCGCCCACCGCUGUACCUCCAGGCGCGCGCGUCCAGCAGGGAGUUCGCGGAGCAGUGGGUUCAGAAGGCCCGAGGAGGGCAGCAAGCCCAGAGGCCAAGAGCCUAGAGGUGCCCUGGAGGCCGGAGGAUCGCGGCUGCGCUCGGAACGGCCCCGCCGCGCGCGGCCCGGGUCCCUGCCGGCCCUGGGCGACAGGUGCAGCCGCAGCCUCCGCCGCCCGCUGGGCCGGGGCGGCCGCCGCGCGCUGGUGCGGAACCACUAUCGGAACGAGUUUGCGCUUCUGUUUACAAAGCAAUCCUUCUAUCAAAAGAGGAACAAAAUCACCACUUAUCACACCCUGUCAUAAAGUAAUCUGCCCCGAAGGGAAACCCUGGCGAAGAAGCGCGC
ensembl:lncRNA